CAGCAUAUGGAGGCUGUCCUGCAGAAGAUUUGUGGGGGAAAGAAUGACAACUGACGAGAGAUUGCAGCGUCCUGAACAUCAUUAUUGAAAGGGUUCCUUCACCCAAAAUUGGCUUUAUGGUCUAUCGACAGUACACCCUUCAUUAUAGUUGAUGAUGCUGGCAAAACUUCACAUACUUCCAAGGUGCACGGAGAUGGAAAGGAAGUCCAGAAAGGUCAG